CCCUUUGGCGGAAGGGUUGGGGGCCGGCACUUCCAGCCCGGGUCGGCAGCGCCCGGUCCUUGUUCCGGCUCCCCCGAAGCCGCACGCCUCGCCCUCGCCGCGGGCGCACCUCCAGCAGCAGCUCCUGCAGCCGCCUUCGCGCACCUUGCCCAGCGGGCAGCCUCCCGGCGGCAAGGCAGGGCAGGCCGAGGGCACGCAGGGCGGGCAAGGAGGCUCCGUCUCCCCCGGGGAAGCCAAGGAGCCGCUGCAGAAGGAGGACAAGAAGCAGCAGAAGAAGCAACAGGCGCCCAGCAGCAGGACAGACGGGGCGGACAUCACGGCGGCGGGCGAGGCACAGAGUGAGCGGCUGGAGGCGGGCGGAGAGAGAGACAGAGAGACAGAGACUCCGCCUCCAGUGGUCCACGCAAAAUCUCCCUCAGCAAAGCAAUUCCCGCUUCUCCAGGACUGUCCUUCCUCACACACAACAAAGGAUGAGGUUUAAGGGUUCAAAAGGAAGGCCUUCAGCUUCAUCAUCAGGGGACCUUCUUCUUCAUCAGUGGCCACAAACUCUGGCAGAAGAGGGAGAUGUUCUGCAAUGCUGGUGGCUUUUUUCAACCAGGCCUCUGGGCCCAUCUCCGUGCUGAGUAUGGGCAAGGAGAGGCUCAACUGCCGCUCUUGUAGGAACAGUUCAUAGCGGUGACGGAGGGCAGGACGCCGCCCAAACGUGUCCUCCAGAAGGUGCAGCAGCAUGCCCAGUCUUUCCAGCCUGUCUGGCCACAGCUCCAUCAUCAGCUCCAGCUGAUGUAACAAGCAGGGGACAUGGAGGGCAGCUGAUAAGACAGCACCCAAAAUCCCAUUAGUAGCAAAAGCCUGCAUCAUGGGAGGACUUCCAGAGGUCACCACGGCCAGCACUCGAUGGAAUAAGACAUGCCCCUCACUAAGCACACGAGCAACUGCCCGGGCCACAAAAGAAUGGCUCAUCUGUUCCAGCAACUCCACCCCAAGCAGGAGUGGGAGCUUUCCAGCCCUGUCAAGAGGCAAAAGGGAGAUAGCUAGGGCAGCACGUCCAUCACCAGUGGUUGCCUCAUGGAGGAAGACAAAGGCCUCACGGUGCUGAAGAGCGUGCCGCAGGGCUGAUUCAUGUUGCCGCCCCAAGGCUGGGAGAACGGUACGAUGGAGCUGAGCAACUGAGAGUAUGGGUCGCCUAGCCCCCAAGAGGCGGAGAAGGCCUUCAAAGAGCUCAGCUUCUGAAAGCGGGAGGCCUGCUUGAGCAACGGCCUGCACCAAGGCAAUCACUAAAGGGUUUGGCUCAGAUUUGGCAUGGCAGCAUCGGGGUGAAGUAAGUGAAGUGACACGGGACUGCCCUUCGGUAGGAAGUGAUGAGGCAGAGACCUGUUUGCGAAUCUGGGAGACUCUUGUGGAGCAGACAUCGGGAAGGGGGCAGCCACGAGAAAACUGGGACGGUGUCUCAUCCUUUGAGGUCAAGGAAACACGGCGGCGUGGGGUCUUGGCAGGGGUCCUUGGUGGAUUGGCCAUGUUUCUGAAAGAUGACAAGACAUUCAAUGAAGACAAAGGCAAAUGGAAAAUGUUUUCUUUACAGCAAACUGGCUGUACCUUGAAAAACCUCACUUGGCCACAGUGGUCCACGCCUUAGUUACAUCCAGAA
rnacentral:lncRNA from 11 species